ensembl:lncRNA
AGCGCGUGAAGCUGCUGACGCCUCGGUGUGAGUUUGCGGGAACAGCGCGUGCCUUCCGUUUGGCGCUCCAGCAGAAAUGUUGGUGGUCUCAGUCAAGUCCCGCUCACUUCCCGUCCCACAUUAAAAACACUUUCCGCCGUCAGUGUCAGUGUCAGUCUGUCUGUGUGUCUGAGUUUGUGUGUCCUCGCGCUGCAGACAGCUCGUGCAGCACACCUGGAGAAAACUGAUCUGUAUUUAAAUGAUGGCGGGUGUCACGUGGAUCCUGACCGUUCUGUGUGCUGCGGGAUGUCACCUGUCUUCAGCCUCACCUGUUCACAGCUCCACCCUGGUGGUGCCCGUGGGCCACAACGUCUUUCUGCUCUGCAACGUGACGCCCAGCGAUGAGAUCACCUGGUACCUGCUGCGCUCAGAGCAGCUGCUGCCUCUGUUAACUGUUAAAAAGGGGAAGUUUGUUGACACCACUGACAAUCACACAAACAACCAUCGGAUGAACUGUAACGGGACGCUGCAGACCGGCCUGGUCAGCCUGGAGAUCCAGGAGGUGGAGGAGGAGGAUGCUGGGCUGUACUUCUGCAUCGGGAGGUUUGCAGCUAAGAUGCACGUUAACAGAGGAAUUCAGCUGACUGUGGACGGCUACAGCGAGCUUCAGUUCUUGGCAUCGAUCCUCCGGGUCUGUGGAUCUCUGCUGCAGACCUGAGUGAAGUUGGCCCCCACCUUCUACAGACCAAACAAAAUUGAUGUGAAACAUGUGCGCUACAUUUGUGCUGAUUUUGU